GUGGCUCAGUAGUAGAGCAUCUGCUUUGCAUGCAGAAGAUCUCAAGUUCAAUCCUCAGCAUCUCCA